rnacentral:lncRNA from 9 species
GCCAUGCCAGGCUUUGAGCAGAGUAACUUCAUUAGAGGUGACAGGCUCUCCAAAACGGGCAGGCACAAUAACUGCUGGUGUGGGCGUGUGGGUGCCCUGUAGUGGGGGGAUGACAAGAUGGACAGGCUUUCGUGGCAGGAAACCAUUUAGAGGUGGUCCUGAAGGACUGAGGCAAGACCUGACCUGACGGCCUCCCACCUUCCCUCUCUGAUGGGUCGCAUCCCCCCCUCUCAGAGCUCACCUGCAGAUUCCCCUCACCCACCGCCGGAACUGCUUGGAACCCUGGACCAGUCUCGACAGGGAACAGAGGAGGAACACACAUACAGACCACAACCACAAGAGGACACCAUGUACUGGGCCACUGCAAGGCCAAGUACACACAAGCAGGGCCAGUGUGAACAGUGUGCUACACCUUGUGGCUGUCUUAUGAAGGAGUCGGAAAAAGGAAAAUUCCUGAGGGCUCUCCGUGACAAUACGAGGCUACUUAUUCACUCUGUUUCUCCAACCUGCUUCACCAAAACACCAGGAAAAUAA